GAAAUUGCUGAUAGGCUUGCUGGUGAGUUAGGUGAAGAUGUGCCUUCUCUACCUGAAGGGAAAACUAGAUCACUUUUAAUCCCUCCAGCACCUCUCACAUCCUGUGGUGAUUGGCCAUUGUUGAGGGUGAUGCGUGGUAUUUUUGAGGGUGGACUAGAUGCUACUGGGAGGGCAGAGCAGGAGGAAGAUUAUGAUGAUGCUGGUGGUGAUUGGGGUGAUGAAGACCUGGAAAUUGUUGAUGCAAGUGCUGUGAUAGAAAAUGGAGAUGCUGGCCAUGCCGAUGAAAGUGAAACAAAUGAAGAGGAUGGGGAAGAGGAAGGUGGCUGGGACCUGGAAGAUCUGGAAUUGCCGCCGGAGGCAGAUACACCAAAAGCUACUGGUGCGGCCCGUUCUGCUUUGUUUGUGGCUCCCACACCUGGCAUGCCUGUCAGUCAAAUUUGGACUCAGAAGUCAUCUCUUGCUGGGGAGCAUGCUGCAGC
rnacentral:lncRNA from 1 species